AUUGAACGCUGGCGGCAGGCCUAACACAUGCAAGUCGAGCGGAUGAAGGGAGCUUGCUCCUGGAUUCAGCGGCGGACGGGUGAGUAAUGCCUAGGAAUCUGCCUGGUAGUGGGGGAUAACGUCCGGAAACGGGCGCUAAUGCCGCAUACGUCCUGAGGGAGAAAGUGGGGGAUCUUCGGACCUCACGCUAUCAGAUGAGCCUAGGUCGGAUUAGCUAGUUGGUGGGGUAAAGGCCUACCAAGGCGACGAUCCGUAACUGGUCUGAGAGGAUGAUCAGUCACACUGGAACUGAGACACGGUCCAGACUCCUACGGGAGGCAGCAGUGGGGAAUAUUGGACAAUGGGCGAAAGCCUGAUCCAGCCAUGCCGCGUGUGUGAAGAAGGUCUUCGGAUUGUAAAGCACUUUAAGUUGGGAGGAAAGGCAGUAAGUUAAUACCUUGCUGUUUUGACGUUACCAACAGAAUAAGCACCGGCUAACUUCGUG
rnacentral:rRNA from 1 species